UCCGCGGGUCAGCUGUCGUACAGUGCAGCAGCAUGACUCCUGAGCACGAACUGGAAAGCGAGGAAGAUGAAGCGCCCGAAGAGGUGACGUUCCAGAGCGCCAAGAGCCGGGCGGAGGAAAGUGCCCGGGCAAGACGGGAGGCGGCCAACAGAGAAAAGGCUUUGCUGAAGGAGAAGAGGAAGCGCAAGGAGGAGCUGUUUAAAGAACAGAAGAAAAAGAAAUUGCUCCCAGACGACAUCCUCCAAAGCAUCAGCUCUCUUCCAGAUGAACGGGAGGAACCGAGUGAACAGCCUGAAGGCCAGAGUAAGACAGGGAAUGAAGGACACAUCAAAAAGAGGUCUGCAAAGAAGCUGCGUCCUCGAAAAAGGUUGCAAACUAACUACGAGGUAGUACAAUUGGAAACGUACAGUUCAAAAGACUUACUGCAGCAAAGAGCAAAAUCCUUCAUCCAUAAAAAGUUAUAUGGGAAGACCAAGAACAGGACCACAGCUAAUGAAUUUCUCUCAAUUUCAAGGAAAAGGGGUUUCAUUAAAGAGCCGGCAGUUCAAUUUACGGUCGACAGCUGGGGCAAAGAGGAGAAACCGAAAGCGGCACAGUUCAAUCUUCGAUGGGUGAACAGAAAGAAACGAUGAACCUUUCGGAAUAUUACAUUUUUGACUUUGCAACUCUUCUCCCUGUGACGUGGUCUAAUGUGAUAUGUAGUGCAGGGUAGCUUCCUGUUUUCCAGAUUUCCAUCAUAUCCACAUAGCUAUAUUAGACUGUGUUUAUUCUGUUUUACAUUUUUAUUCGGUGGUACAUUCAGGCCUCAUGCACACAACCCGUAUGUAUUUUGCGGAUCCACUCUCUUGUCCUGCUUAUUUUUGGUAUCUUCUGAUAUAAAGUAUUGGAAAGUUUCACCUAUUGUAUACAUGGUCACAUCUGCUUUUACCCAUUAAAGAUUUUUGUGUGAGCUCUGCUUGCAGCCAAUAGAAAGUGAAUGGAGACACUCUAGAGAAGGCUUCCUCCUGGCUGAGAAUAGACUUGAUGCCUCCCGCUGACCUCUUGGAAGAUUCUGGAGAUAAGCAGUUUAGCACAGCAUAGCAGAUGGAGUGCUGAAGGCAGCUCACAUACUUAUAUAUUUUUCAUGCUCAAUCUACAGGCAAAGGAUUUUGUUUGGGCCAUCAGCCAGAUUUGCUGUAAGCAGCUUGAUUUGAGUCUUGCUGCCCUCAUAACUGUGUUCUGUACAGAUCUAUGGCAAUCCCACAACCAAAGAAGUCAUUUUUAGAAAACCGUAGCCUGUUGUUCAGUGUGGUUUUUAUACACUAUGCUGUGCACUAGGGCUGCAACGAUUAAUCAAAGUUAUUUAUAUUAUUCUAUAACUGGAUUCGUUGUCGACGAAUCCCGUUAUCGAAUAAUCGGCCGAUUCAUUGCUAUGCAGGCGGUCAGGCGCUAUGCCUACGGGUCCUUAACUGGCAGUAACUUUUACUUGAACUCUAAAUCAGCGCAUCUUUAUUACCUUACAAUGAAGCUCCGGUAACAGGCAGAGCGGGCGGCGGUGUUACGUCACUUACGUGACGUGC